rnacentral:sRNA from 1 species
AACGCGCGGCGGCUCAGCGGCCUGGCAGAGGUUUCAGCGCUGAGCAGGCCUGAGUUCCGUCAUGGCCCUCUAUUUUGACCACCAGAUAGAAGCCCCAGAUGCAGCGGGGUCACCCUCACACAUCAGCUGGCACCCUGUCCAUCCAUUCUUAGCAGUUGCUUACAUCAGCACAACCUCAACAGGCAGCGUGGAUAUUUACCUGGAGCAAGGGGAGUGCGUGCCAGACACACAUGUCGAGAGGCCGUUCCGGGUUGCUUCCCUGUGCUGGCACCCGACGCGGCUGGUGCUGGCUCUGGGCUGGGAGACUGGAGAAGUGACCGUGUUUAACAAGCAGGACAAGGAGCAGCACACGAUGCCCCUGACACAUACAGCCAACAUCACUGUGCUCAAUUGGAGCCCCAAUGGAAACUGCCUGCUGUCUGGGGACAGGCUUGGUGUCUUGCUCUUGUGGAGGUUGGACCAAAGGGGCCGAGUGCAAGGGACGCCCCUGCUGAAACACGAGUAUGGGAAACACCUCACGCACUGCAUCUUCCGGCUCCCCCCUCCUGGCGAGGACCUGGUUCAGUUGGCAAAGGCAGCUGUGAGCGGUGAUGAGAAAGCCCUGGACAUGUUUAACUGGAAGAAGAGCAGCUCUGGAAGUUUGCUGAAGAUGGGGUCUCACGAGGGGCUGUUGUUCUUUGUCAGUCUGAUGGACGGGACAGUGCACUAUGUGGAUGAGAAGGGCAAGACCACUCAAGUGGUGUCCGCAGACAGCGCGAUUCAGAUGCUGUUCUACAUGGAGAAGAGGGAGGCACUGGUGGUGGUCACGGAGAACCUCCGGCUGUCCCUGUACACAGUGCCUCCUGAGGGCAAAGCAGAAGAAGUGAUGAAGGUCAAGCUGAGUGGGAAAACCGGCCGCCAGGCAGACAUCGCUUUGAUUGAAGGCAGCCUUCUGGUGAUGGCCAUUGGGGAGGCUGCCCUCAGAUUCUGGGACAUAGAACGAGGAGAGAAUUAUAUACUGAGUCCAGAUGAGAAGUUUGGCUUUGAGAAAGGAGAGAAUAUGAACUGUGUUUGUUACUGUAAAGUAAAAGGUCUUCUGGCCGCUGGUACUGACAGAGGGCGAGUAGCCAUGUGGAGAAAAGUACCAGGCUUCCUGGGCAGCCCUGGGGCAGAGGGCAAGGACAGGUGGGCCCUUCAGACCCCUACCGAGCUCCAAGGAAACAUCACGCAAAUCCAGUGGGGUUCCAGGAAGAACCUGCUGGCAGUGAACAACGUCAUCUCCGUGGCCAUCCUCAGCGAGCGGGCCAUGUCGUCACACUUCCACCAGCAAGUGGCCGCCGUGCAGGUCUCCCCAAGUCUGCUGAAUGUGUGCUUCCUGUCCACGGGGGUCGCACACAGCCUGCGCACCGACAUGCACAUCAGUGGGGUGUUUGCCACUAAGGAUGCUGUCGCAGUCUGGAACGGAAGGCAGGUGGCGAUCUUCGAGCUUUCUGGAGCCGCGAUACGGAGUGCAGGGACCUUCUUGUGUGAGACGCCCGUGUUAGCAAUGCAUGAAGAAAACGUUUACACGGUGGAGUCAAACCGAGUUCAAGUUCGAACCUGGCAGGGGACUGUCAAACAACUCCUCCUUUUCUCGGAGACUGAGGGGAACCCCUGCUUCUUGGAUGUCUGUGGGAAUUUCCUGGUUGUAGGGACAGACUUGGCUCACUUUAAAAGCUUUGAUCUUUCCCGAAGAGAGGCCAAAGCACACUGCAGCUGCAGGAGCCUGGCGGAGCUGGUCCCUGGGGUGGGGGGCAUCGCUUCUCUGCGGUGCAGCAGCAGCGGGAGCACCAUCAGCAUCCUCCCCAGCAAGGCUGACAACAGCCCUGAUUCCAAAAUCUGCUUCUACGAUGUUGAAAUGGACACAGUGACCAUCUUUGACUUCAAGACUGGACAAAUUGAUCGGAGAGAGACGCUGUCCUUUAAUGAGCAAGAGACUAAUAAGAGCCACCUCUUUGCGGAUGAGGGACUGAAAAAUUAUGUUCCCGUGAACCACUUCUGGGACCAGAGCGAGCCCCGGCUGUUUGUGUGCGAAGCCGUGCAGGAGACACCGCGCUCCCAGCCUCAGUCUGCAAAUGGGCAGCCCCAAGAUGGGCGCGCUGGCCCUGCGGCAGAUGUUUUGAUCCUGUCCUUCUUCAUUUCCGAAGAGCACGGCUUCCUGCUUCAUGAGAGCUUCCCCCGGCCUGCCGCCUCCCACAGUCUCCUGGGGAUGGAAGUGCCUUAUUACUACUUCACAAGAAAGCCCGAAGAAGCAGACAGAAAAGACGAGGUGGAGCCUGGGUGCCACCACAUCCCUCAGAUGGUGUCCAGGAGACCCCUGCGAGACUUCGUGGGGCUGGAGGACUGCGACAAGGCCACCCGGGACGCCAUGCUCCACUUCAGCUUCUUUGUCACCAUUGGAGACAUGGACGAAGCCUUCAAAUCCAUCAAGCUCAUCAAAAGAGCCUGAAACCAGAGAAGGAGAGGUGGGCUGUGAGCAACCCUUGGUUGGCGCAGCUUGUUCCCGUCUAGUUAGUCGCUGAUACUACAGUUUCGCUUACAGUUUUAUCUUUAAGGAGCUCC